rnacentral:rRNA from 1 species
AGCAAACAGGAUUAGAUACCCUGGUAGUCCACGCUGCAAACGAUGUCGAUUUAGAGGUUGUGGUCUUGAACCGUGGCUUCUGGAGCUAACGCGUUAAAUCGACCGCCUGGGGAGUACGGCCGCAAGGUUAAGACUCAAAUGAAUUGACGGGGGCCCGCACAAGCGAUGGAGCAUGUGGUUUAAUUCGAUGCAACGCGAAGAACCUUACCUACUCUUGACAUCCAGCGAAUCCUUUAGAGAUAGAGGAGUGCCUUCGGGAACGCUGAGACAGGUGCUGCAUGGCUGUCGUCAGCUCGUGUUGUGAAAUGUUGGGUUAAGUCCCGCAACGAGCGCAACCCUUAUCCUUUGUUGCCAGCACGUAAUGGUGGGAACUCAAAGGAGACUGCCGGUGAUAAACCGGAGGAAGGUGGGGAUGACGUCAAGUCAUCAUGGCCCUUACGAGUAGGGCUACACACGUGCUACAAUGGCAGAUACAAAGAGAAGCGACCUCGCGAGAGCAAGCGGAACUCAUAAAGUCUGUCGUAGUCCGGAUUGGAGUCUGCAACUCGACUCCAUGAAGUCGGAAUCGCUAGUAAUCGUAGAUCAGAAUGCUACGGUGAAUACGUUCCCGGGC